rnacentral:rRNA from 1 species
UACGUAGGGGGCAAGCGUUGUCCGGAUUUAUUGGGCGUAAAGAGCGUGUAGGCGGUUUGGUAGGUCCGCUGUGAAAACUCGAGGCUCAACCUCGAGACGUCGGUGGAAACCAUCAGACUAGAGUCCGGAAGAGGAGAGUGGAAUUCCUGGUGUAGCGGUGAAAUGCGCAGAUAUCAGGAAGAACACCCGUGGCUGAGGCGGCUCUCUAGUACGGUACUGACGCUGAGACGCGAAGGCGUGGGGAGCGAACAGG